AACGAACGCUGGCGGCAUGCCUAACACAUGCAAGUCGAACGAGACCUUCGGGUCUAGUGGCGCACGGGUGCGUAACGCGUGGGAACCUGCCCUUAGGUUCGGAAUAACUCCCCGAAAGGGGUGCUAAUACCGGAUAAUGUCUUCGGACCAAAGAUUUAUCGCCUUUGGAUGGGCCCGCGUUGGAUUAGCUAGUUGGUAGGGUAAAAGCCUACCAAGGCGACGAUCCAUAGCUGGUCUGAGAGGAUGAUCAGCCACACUGGGACUGAGACACGGCCCAGACUCCUACGGGAGGCAGCAGUGGGGAAUAUUGGACAAUGGGCGAAAGCCUGAUCCAGCAAUGCCGCGUGAGUGAUGAAGGCCUUAGGGUUGUAAAGCUCUUUUACCCGGGAUGACAAUGACAGUACCGGGAGAAUAAGCUCCGGCUAACUCCGCG
rnacentral:rRNA from 1 species